GACGAACGCUGGCGGCGUGCCUAAUACAUGCAAGUAGAACGCUGAAGGGAGAGCUUGCUCUUCUGGAUGAGUUGCGAACGGGUGAGUAACGCGUAGGUAACCUGCCUGGUAGCGGGGGAUAACUAUUGGAAACGAUAGCUAAUACCGCAUAACAUUGACUAUUGCAUGAUAGUCAAUUGAAAGGUGCAAAUGCACCACUACCAGAUGGACCUGCGUUGUAUUAGCUAGUUGGUGGGGUAACGGCUCACCAAGGCGACGAUACAUAGCCGACCUGAGAGGGUGAUCGGCCACACUGGGACUGAGACACGGCCCAGACUCCUACGGGAGGCAGCAGUAGGGAAUCUUCGGCAAUGGACGGAAGUCUGACCGAGCAACGCCGCGUGAGUGAAGGAGGUUUUCGGAUCGUAAAGCUCUGUUGUAAGAGAAGAACGAGUG
rnacentral:rRNA from 1 species